GCCUACGGGACGCAGCAGUGGGGAAUAUUGCACAAUGGGGGAAACCCUGAUGCAGCGACGCCGCGUGAGUGAAGAAGUAUCUCGGUACGUAAAGCUCUAUCAGCAGGGAAGAAAAAAAGUCUUUGGCUUUGGACGGUACCUGACUAAGAAGCCCCGGCUAACUACGUGCCAGCAGCCGCGGUAAUACGUAGGGGGCAAGCGUUAUCCGGAUUUACUGGGUGUAAAGGGAGCGUAGACGGCAGCGCAAGUCUGGAGUGAAAUGCCGGGGCUCAACCCCGGAACUGUUUUGGAAACUGUGCAGCUAG
rnacentral:rRNA from 1 species